UUCUCUGUAGCUCAGUUGGUUAGAGCAUAGUGCUGACAAUGUCAAGGUUGCAAGUUUGAUCCCCAUAUGGGAAA